rnacentral:rRNA from 1 species
ACGAAAGGUGCGAGCGUUAAUCGGAAUUACUGGGCGUAAAGCGCGCGUAGGCGGCUAUUUAAGUCUGAUGUGAAAUCCCCGGGCUCAACCUGGGAAUGGCAUCGGAUACUGGGUAGCUAGAGUGCAGUAGAGGAAGGUGGAAUUCCAGGUGUAGCGGUGAAAUGCGUAGAGAUCUGGAGGAACACCAGUGGCGAAGGCGGCCUUCUGGACUGACACUGACGCUGAGGUGCGAAAGCGUGGGGAUCAAACAGG